AAAAAUUCGCUAGUUUUACAUUUGUAGCGUUGUAAAAUUAACGAUGAACUUCAAAAAAUUUCCGCAAAACUAAAACGAAACUUUUAGUAUACUGGAUAAAGAGCAUUAAAUAGCGAAAAGUGCAUUUAAUAGCCAUUUUGCCCUUUUUAAGGCAAAUAAAGUUUAAUAAAACGGGGUUUACUUUGGAAGGGAAGAUACAACGAAUGGUCUCUCAUAUUUGUCAAAUAGGGAAUAAGCAAAAUAGGUGACGCUUAACGUCAGUAUUGAUUGUUUAGAGCUGCAUUUAUAAGAGAAAACAUCUGUAUAUUGAGAACAAAAUAUACUCCAAACAAAAUUGUUUAAUUACAAACAACUGAGCCAAAGUAAAGAUUUUAGUUUUGUAUAAGUUUGUAAUUUUUGUCGAAUCAUCAAUCUUUCCAUACUUUAUCAUAUACUGCCACUAUCAUUGAUAAAGCACAAAGGAUCAACAAAUAAUAAAAACUCAUCACUUUACGGGAUGUAUAAGGAUGUAAAGACAAGUAAAAUGUUGUAAAAAAUUGUUAUUAAAUAAUCAGUGUUGAUGAAUAUAAAGAUCAGGCAAAAUGGUUUCUUUCCUCAUAUUAUGUUAUUUGACAGCAGAGGAAGAUCAAAAUUGGAAAAGGGAACUUGUAAGACGCAGUUCUGUGAAUGAAGUUACCACUCCAGCAGUUGGUUCAAUUCGGAGGGAGCUUUAAAUUUGCAUCCUAUUAAAUACGAAUACUAUAGAAGUUCUGUGAGAAGUGUAUUUUUGCCGAUAUUAUGAUUUUGGCCUACAAGUUAAUGCGCAUUCAUUCAUUCAGCGAAGAUAAUGUUUAUGACCACACUAGCAACAAUUUUGACGGAAUUAAUGCAGAAGAUGAUGGGUAUCGAAGUGGCACAGAAUAGGUAAGUGAAACGGAACUGUUAUAAUAAAGUAUUUUUAGGAUGCGUUGCAGGAAAAUCUACGCGAUAUCGGUAGUAGGCACGUGCCUCCUGGUAGAGAUUUAUCGUCAUGUCCAGACCAAUGGGGUCAAACUCAACAACAGCAAGUGCAUAAAUCACCCAAGAAGUCCAGCUCAUUGCCUACACAUAUUGCAGCAUAGUCAGUAAAUAAUCCAUCUACCCUUAAAGUAAUAAUUGAGACGUGUUCGCUACGCUAUUAAAUGAAUUUGUUGGAAUUGUGGAACAAUAAUUUUAUAAGCAGAAAUGAAUAAAAUAAAUUCGGUCUGUGAAGAAGAGGAAAAUUAGAAAAGUAAACAUUUAACACAAGUAGGUUGGGUUUUAUUUCUCUUGCAUUUGGACUCUGCUCGUUUCUAUCAACGGAAAUUCUUCAGUGGUUCAAAAAUUAUGCUGAAAAGCGGUUUAAAAAUUUUGUUUAAAAGUGGAAAUUAUGUUAAAAGUGGUUCAACGUUUUUAUACUGUAUAGUCUCUAUUCUUAUACUAUUAAAGAGAAUAAAAGCAAGAACAUCUGACAUCCAAUUGCAAUUUACAUGCAAUGUACAUAUCCAGCAUAAUGUAUCGUAACAUACUUCUACGUCCGUUCAGUGAAGAGUGGAACAAUGACAACAGGAAUGCAGAAAACAUCACUAUGAGACGGGCGAGAAAGGCUUGGCGGAAUGCUUCUGACCCACUAUUGCUAUCUCAAAACGAGUAGUUUUUGAACAUUGCUCUAGGCCGCUCGCGCAUUUUGCAGGAAGAACGAAAGAGUUUCUAGAACCCAAAGAAGCUGAAAAGAAUUGCAAACGUUUGUGAGGCGUUGCACAACAUUUGCGUCCAAUAUAUUUGGAUUCUCCAGCACACUAGGUGACUUAUCAAUAUGGUGUUGUUAUUUGCGUGGAGGCAUCACAAUUGAGGCAGUAGGAUCUUCUUUUUAUUUGGCAUAAAAGAAUGGAAGAGAAAUCUGAUACAAUAAUGAAGAAGACGUCAUUUAUACAAAUUAAUCAUUAACAAUACAUUAUAACAGAACCGAUAACAUUCAUUUUUAUGAAAAAUCUGUAAA